CGCUUUCACUCCUACGGGAGGCAGCAGUGGGGAAUAUUGCACAAUGGGCGCAAGCCUGAUGCAGCCAUGCCGCGUGUGUGAAGAAGGCCUUCGGGUUGUAAAGCACUUUCAGUCGUGAGGAAGGUAGUGUAGUUAAUAGCUGCAUUAUUUGACGUUAGCGACAGAAGAAGCACCGGCUAACUCCGUGCCAGCAGCCGCGGUAAUACGGAGGGUGCGAGCGUUAAUCGGAAUUACUGGGCGUAAAGCGCAUGCAGGUGGUUUGUUAAGUCAGAUGUGAAAGCCCGGGGCUCAACCUCGGAAUUGCAUUUGAAACUGGCAGACUAGAGUACUGUAGAGGGGGUAGAAUUUCAGGUGUAGCGGUGAAAUGCGUAGAGAUCUGAAGGAAUACCGGUGGCGAAGGCGGCCCCCUGGACAGAUACUGACACUCAGAUGCGAAAGCGUGGGGAGCAAACAGGAUUAGAUACCCUGGUAG
rnacentral:rRNA from 1 species